rnacentral:lncRNA from 15 species
AUGAGGUUGAUUCUGGUUAAACCCACCAAUGCAACUCGACGUCUUGACUCAACGGGUGAAGUCUUCCGUGAUGAGGACCAUGAGCAUUGUACCUCAGGAGGUCCAUCACCUCUGAGAAAAUCUCCUGAGCAGAUGCAUGAUCGAUACUCCGGUACCUCUGUGGAAGCGUCGUCUCCCCCACAGGAGACGAGUCUGUGCUGUGUUUCAUCUUCACCCCACGAAAGGUCUAAUGGAAUCAGUCCGUCGCGAGUUUCAGCCCAGAUGUCACCACUGAAAACCCGAAACCUAACCUUAUCACAGCUGAGUGAUCAGGACUGGUUGCUGCUUUGUGGCCAGGUUAGCGGUGUAGGAGAUGAUUCACUCUCAGAAGACAGAGCAGGGACCAGUGUGGGACAUCCAAACCAUAAUGACAGAUGUGGUUGUUCCUGUCCUGAUGCACACCAACAUACAACUUCUAGUUUUCAUCCGCAGUCUAAACAGGGCUCAGUCCAAGACUGCCUCUCCCGGGUUUCAAACAAGAAAAGCCUUUCAUCCUUACCACACACCCAGACUUUCUCACAAAGCCCCCAAGCUCCGACCACUUGCCAGGUUUUACCGCAGCAAACAAACCAAAGGGAUCUUUUGAAACCUGCAACAAACCAUCCACAGGAUAAUUUCAUGCUCCAGUGCAGUGACCAAGAAGGUCGAAAGGAGCUGUUGCAGCAACAGCCUUGCAAUCAUUUUAAACUGAAAGACAGCAGCCAAGCAACUUUAUUCAACAUCCCUCUGAACUCUAUAGAGUGUGCUGAAACAAACCAGAAACUUCACCAACAUCCUCAGUCUGCUGUCACAGCAGACCUCAACUGGAGAGAGCUUUUUGGUAAAGAACCACUGCUAGUUCAGCAGUGUCAGAAGCAAGACUCUCACUGCUCAACAAGCAGCGAUCAAACCUGCAAGUCAUCUGGGGAGCCCUCUGUUGUCCUCAAGUGCCGUCAUCUCCCUUACAACCCUUUAACUAGCUUGGCACGCGUGAAGAGGUCGUCGACUCCAGCCAGUAACAAAAGUGUCCAGUCCUUCUCCACCAGCCAGUAUAGUUCACUUGAGAACCAGGAUUUAGUGGAGGAGAGAGCAAGACAGCGACAAAGUCAGGUACAGGAUUUUCUUCAAAUGCUGUAG